CUCGAGUGACCACACAGGUGGGCUCGACCGACACGUGCUGCCGAAGCCUGGAGGGCUGCAACGGUACCGACGCAGUAUCUUGGAAUUGUUGUAAUACAAGAAGAAUUCUACAGAGCGUCAGUCAUGGAUCCAGAUGAGAAGUUCACAGAACAGCAGCUAUGAAGCAGGAUAAAA